UACGUAGGGAGCAAGCGUUGUCCGGAAUCAUUGGGCGUAAAGCGCGCGUAGGUGGCCUCGUAAGUCCGCUGUGAAAGUCAAAGGCUCAACCUUUGAAAGCCGGUGGAUACUGUGGGGCUAGAGUACGGAAGAGGCGAGUGGAAUUCCUGGUGUAGCGGUGGAAUGCGCAGAUAUCAGGAAGAACACCCGUGGCGAAGGCGGCUCUCUGGUACGUGACUGACGCUGAGACGCGAAAGCGUGGGGAGCAAACAGG
rnacentral:rRNA from 1 species